UACGGGAUAUUCUGUGCCUGCUGCAGUGGUGGGUGUGGGAAAGAUUGCGCUUUUUUGGGUGUUUUUGGUGGGGGAUGGGCUCGCGGCCUAUCAGCUUGUUGGUGGGGUGAUGGCCUACCAAGGCGGUGACGGGUAGCCGGCCUGAGAGGGUGGACGGUCACACUGGGACUGAGACACGGCCCAGACUCCUACGGGAGGCAGCAGUGGGGAAUAUUGCACAAUGGGCGCAAGCCUGAUGCAGCGACGCCGCGUGAGGGAUGGAGGCCUUCGGGUUGUGAACCUCUUUCGCCAGUGAAGCAGGCCUGCUCCUUGGUGGGUGGGUUGACGGUAGCUGGAUAAGAAGCGCCGGCUAACUAC
rnacentral:rRNA from 1 species